rnacentral:pre_miRNA from 13 species
CAGAAGCUAUCUCCAAUGGCCACGUGUAUGCUCGUAGCUAUAGCCUGAUAUCCAAUGUUAUUGCUUGAGAAUACACGUAGUUCAGCGAGAUUUGUUCAGC